rnacentral:rRNA from 1 species
CUCAGUAACGGCGAGUGAAGCGGGACUAGCUCAGGAUGUGAAUCUGCGCUUUUAUGGCGCCGAAUUGUGGUCUGUAGACUUUGACAUUAUUUGCCGGGCCAAGUUCCUUGGAAAAGGACAGCUGAGAGGGUGACACUCCCGUCCGCCUGGUAAAGUGAGUCAUUUGUCAACGAGUCGAGUUGUUUGGGAUUGCAGCUCUAAUUUGGUGGUAAAUUCCAUCUAAAGCUAAAUAUUGGUGGGAGACCGAUAGCGUACAAGUACCGUGAGGGAAAGAUGCAAAGAACUUUGAAAAGAGAGUUAAAGAGUACCUGAAACUGCUGAAACGGAAGCGAAGGAAACCAGUGUUUGUUUGUUCAUAUUUCCCUGGCCACUUGUGGUCUGGGCGCUGUGGACUUGCGUGAGUUUGGGUUGGUUGAUCCCUUUGGAAGAGCGCAGUCAGAGUUGAUGUCUGUUGCUAGCACUGGGUUUGACUGAUGCAGACGAAAUGGUUUUCUUUACCCCGUCUUGAAACACGGACCAAGGAGUCUAACAUAUGUGCGAGUACAGGGGUGUCAAACCCCCGUGCGCAAUGAAAGUGACAGUGGUUGGAAUUUUUGCACAAUCCGCCGGCCUCAAUCCCUCGGGAGAACGGUCUGAGUGUGAGCAUACAUGUUGGGACCCGAAAGAUGGUGAACUAUGCCUGAAUAGGG